CAUGCACAGGUGUUGCACGGCCGUCGUCAGCUCGUGCCGUGAGGUGUUGGUUAAGUCCCGCAACGAGCGCAACCCCUGUUCUUAGUUGCCAGCGAGUAAUGUCGGGGACUCUAGGAAGACUGCCGGCGCAAGCCGCGAGGAAGUGGGGACGACGUCAAGUCAUCAUGGCCUUUAUGCCCAGGGCUAUACACGUGCUACAAUGGCGGGUACAACGGGUCGCAAAGCCGCGAGGUGGAGCCAAUCCAGGAAAGCCCGUCCCAGUUCGGAUUGGAGUCUGCAACCCGACUCCAUGAAGUUGGAAUCGCUAGUAAUCGCGCAUCAGCCAUGGCGCGGUGAAUACGUUCCCGGACCUC
rnacentral:rRNA from 1 species